rnacentral:rRNA from 1 species
UGAGUUUGAUCCUGGCUCAGGAUGAACGCUGGCGGCGUGCCUAAUACAUGCAAGUCGAGCGAACAGAUAAGGAGCUUGCUCCUUUGACGUUAGCGGCGGACGGGUGAGUAACACGUGGGUAACCUACCUAUAAGACUGGGAUAACUUCGGGAAACCGGAGCUAAUACCGGAUAAUAUUUCGAACCGCAUGGUUCGAUAGUGAAAGAUGGUUUUGCUAUCACUUAUAGAUGGACCCGCGCCGUAUUAGCUAGUUGGUAAGGUAACGGCUUACCAAGGCGACGAUACGUAGCCGACCUGAGAGGGUGAUCGGCCACACUGGAACUGAGACACGGUCCAGACUCCUACGGGAGGCAGCAGUAGGGAAUCUUCCGCAAUGGGCGAAAGCCUGACGGAGCAACGCCGCGUGAGUGAUGAAGGUCUUCGGAUCGUAAAACUCUGUUAUUAGGGAAGAACAUACGUGUAAGUAACUGUGCACGUCUUGACGGUACCUAAUCAGAAAGCCACGGCUAA